rnacentral:rRNA from 1 species
UACGUAGGGACCCAAGCGUUGUUCGGAUUUACUGGGCGUAAAGGGCGCGUAGGCGGCACUGUAAGUCACUUGUGAAAUCUCUGAGCUUAACUCAGAACGGCCAAGUGAUACUGCAGCGCUAGAGUGUGGAAGGGGCAAUCGGAAUUCUUGGUGUAGCGGUGAAAUGCGUAGAUAUCAAGAGGAACACCUGAGGUGAAGACGGGUUGCUGGGCCAACACUGACGCUGAGGCGCGAAAGCCAGGGGAGCAAAC